GAUGAACGCUAGCGGCAGGCUUAAUACAUGCAAGUCGAGGGGCAGCAGGACUGUAGCAAUACAGUUGCUGGCGACCGGCACACGGGUGCGGAACACGUACGCAACCUACCCAAAACUGGGGGAUAGCCCGGGGAAACCCGGAUUAAUACCUCGUAACCUUUUUAAGUGGCAUCACUUGAUAAGUAUAGCUCCGGCGGUUUUGGAUGGGCGUGCGCCUGAUUAGGUAGUUGGUGCGGGUAACGGCCCACCAAGCCUGCGAUCAGUAACUGGUGUGAGAGCACGACCAGUCACACGGGCACUGAGACACGGGCCCGACUCCUACGGGAGGCAGCAGUAAGGAAUAUUGAUCAAUGGACGCAAGUCUGAACCAGCCAUGCCGCGUGAAGGAUGAAGGUCCUCUGGAUUGUAAACUUCUUUUAUGGGGGACGAAACCCGGAUAUUCUUAUCCGAUUGACGGUACCUCAGGAAUAAGCACCGGCUAACUCCGUG
rnacentral:rRNA from 1 species